CUUUUUUUCUGUCAUCCGAAUUUCAACGGGUUUUGAUCCGGUACGUGUAUAUCCAAUCCUAUCGAGAGCGGAGGCAUCCACGCAGAAGCAAUGUUGUGCUGCGUUGUGUGUAGAAGAUGUUCCAGCCGAAGUCGGCCGAGAUUCUAUUGGUUCCAAUAUUAUUCACUUUUCUUCCUGUGUAUGCCGCAAUCUGCUACUGAUGCUGCUAGUGCUAAGCAAGGUAUGUGCAUGGCACAGUUAAACGCAGUAAUAGGGAAUGAAAUGCGGGCACUUUAUAAUGCACCUAGACGCAGCACAAGCAGACGACAACGACGACGACGCGGCGAUCCACUCUAUGUACCGAACAACCAACGCUACAUUCGAAACCGUACAACAUACUGAACAGAGGGAAUAGAGUGCGGCUUCAACAUUGCUAUUUCCAGCCGGUGCUACGCUUGCUUGUGUUGUGUUUGGGUUUUCAUCGUUGUUUUACACGCGGUAGGUCGAGUGGCAUUAUAAAAUGAAAAAGGAUAUUUUCUGCCGCCGCAAGCAUAAAUAUCCAAUAUUGACAUGUAUUCCAUAUAAAUAUAGGACUGUUGUGCUUGCGGCGGAAUUUUAGCACCUUCGUCAAUCAUUGGUUUAUUGCUCAUGUAAAAAGUGUUUCAAUAAAUCAAGCUUAAAACAAC